UAUGUGAAUAAAAUUCUUUAAAAAUUUUAUAAAUGAAACUAUGAUAGUUUUAUUUCAGAGCCACAUUAUAUACCUAAAGAGCUGCAUGUGGCUCGUGAGCUGCAGUUUACUGAUUCUGCCUUAUUAUAUAAGACAACAGUUUAAUGGAAAUAGUGCUAUGUUAUGUUAUGGUAAAAGAGUAAUUUAUUUUAUGAUGCCUCUGAAGUUCUUAAUUAUUGCUAUUACUUUCUGUACAAUAAAGAUAUUUUCAUUUUUAAGAUCUUCUGUAUUGUAUGUUUUAAAACUUAUUUUUGACAAUACAUUUGCU
rnacentral:lncRNA from 1 species